rnacentral:rRNA from 1 species
CAGCAGCCGCGGGAAUACGUAGGGUGCGAGCGUUAAUCGGAAUUACUGGGCGUAAAGCGUGCGCAGGCGGUUUUGUAAGACAGGCGUGAAAUCCCCGGGCUCAACCUGGGAAUGGCGCUUGUGACUGCAAAGCUAGAGUGCGGCAGAGGGGGAUGGAAUUCCGCGUGUAGCAGUGAAAUGCGUAGAUAUGCGGAGGAACACCGAUGGCGAAGGCAAUCCCCUGGGCCUGCACUGACGCUCAUGCACGAAAGCGUGGGGAGCAAACAGGAUUAGAUACCCGCGUAGUCCCUGUCUCUUAUAC